rnacentral:misc_RNA from 1 species
UUCCACUUUGAUGUAAAGUACUGGCAGGCUGUUCAGUUCCUGAACCAACUAUGACUCUUAACCUUGGGACUUUUUGAUCCACGUGAAACAAAGCCAAGUGGAACUCCAAUGUGACUGAUUUUAUUGCAGAUUUUCCUCAGUGACUGCUAUUCUACGAUGUUCAUGUUUCUGGAUUUCAAGCCACUUUUGUCUCACCUCUUUGAAUGGGGCCUUGAAAUUCCUCUGCUACAAAACAAUGACUGUAUCCAAUUCUCGGAACUCAAGCUUGGCGUGGAAAAGAAAAUUGGCGCUGUGUAUCCCCAUUUUUUUUGUGGUUGAUGCUGCCAGUGCUUCAGGAGAGCCUACUUAGCUCGGACUGUUCAUAUUGUUCAUAUGUUUAAGCAGAAACAAAAAUGGUGUGGAUGAAGAGCAGCUUCUGGCUGGUACUCAGGGUCUCUGCAUAAUACUAACCAUUGACAAUGUUACUGUAAGCUAAUCAACCAGUUUCUUUUGGCAUUGCCCAAGUGACAAGGUGAAGGUGCAUACCGAGUUACACCUAGGAAAUGCAAUGCAGUUUUUUUUUUUUUUUU